UGGGGAAUAUUGCGCAAUGGGCGAAAGCCUGACGCAGCAACGCCGUGUGAGGGAUGAAGGCUUUCGGGUCGUAAACCUCUGUCAGAAGGGAAGAACGGGUAAUGGUCUAAUAGGCCGUUAUUUUGACGGUACCUUCAGAGGAAGCACCGGCUAACUCCGUGCCAGCAGCCGCGGUAAUACGGAGGGUGCAAGCGUUAUUCGGAAUUACUGGGCGUAAAGCGCACGUAGGCGGCUUAGUAAGUCAGGGGUGAAAUCCCACGGCUCAACCGUGGAACGGCCCUUGAAACUGCAAAGCUUGAAUCCUGGAGAGGGUGGCGGAAUUCCUGGUGUAGGAGUGAAAUCCGUAGAUAUCAGGAGGAACACCGGUGGCGAAGGCGGCCACCUGGACAGGUAUUGACGCUGAGGUGCGAAAGUGUGGGGAGCAAACA
rnacentral:rRNA from 1 species